GACGAACGCUGGCGGCGUGCCUAAUACAUGCAAGUCGAACGCAGUGGGGACGGGUGAGUAACACGUGGGUAACCUCCCAUCAGAGGGGAUAACCCUUGGAAACAGGUGCUAAACCGAUACUGAUGGAUGAACCCGCGGUGCAUUAGCUAGUUGGUGAGGUAACGGCGCACCAAGGCGACGAUGCAUAGCCGACCUGAGAGGGUGACCGGCCAAACUGGGACGGAGACACGGCCCAGACUGCUACGGGAGGCAGCAGUAGGGAAUCGUGGGCAAUGGACGAAAGUCUGACCGAGCAACGCCGCGUGAGGGAAGAAGGUUUUCGGAUCGGAAAACGCUGUUGUUAGAGAAGCGGUAUCUAACCAGGAAGCCACGGCUAACUACGUGCCAGCAGCCGCGGUAAUAC
rnacentral:rRNA from 1 species